rnacentral:rRNA from 1 species
UAUGGAGGAUGCGAGCGUUAUCCGGAUUUAUUGGGUUUAAAGGGUGCGUAGGCGGAGUGCCAAGUCGGCGGUAAAAAUUCGGGGCUCAACCCCGUCGUGCCGUUGAAACUGGCGCCCUUGAGUGGGCGAGAAGUAUGCGGAAUGCGUGGUGUAGCGGUGAAAUGCAUAGAUAUCACGCAGAACCCCGAUUGCGAAGGCAGCAUACCGGCGCCCUACUGACGCUGAAGCACGAAAGCGUGGGUAUCGAACAGG